rnacentral:pre_miRNA from 1 species
GUAAGACAGAAAGAAGGGGACAGGACAAACGUCUCAAACUCAAACAAAAGUUUGAGACGUUUGUCCUGUCCCCUUCUUUCUGUCUUACAAU